UACGUAGGUGGCGAGCGUUGUUCGGAUUUACUGGGCGUAAAGGGUCCGCAGGGGGCCGAUCAAGUCCGAUGUGAAAUCCCGGAGCUCAACUCCGGAACUGCAUUGGAAACUGAUAGGCUAGAGUCUCGGAGAGGAGAGUGGAAUUCCAGGUGUAGCGGUGGAAUGCGUAGAUAUCUGGAAGAACACCGAAGGCGAAGGCAGCUCUCUGGACGAGUACUGACCCUCAGGGACGAAAGCGUGGGGAGCAAACAGGAUUAGAUACCCUGGUAGUCCACGCCGUAAACGUUGUGUACUUGAUGUGGGGGGACUUGACCCCCUCCGCGUCGGAGCUAACGCGUUAAGUACACCGCCUGGGAACUACGGCCGCAAGGCUAAA
rnacentral:rRNA from 1 species